rnacentral:rRNA from 1 species
GGUUGAUCCUGCCAGUAGUCAUAUGCUUGUCUCAAAGAUUAAGCCAUGCAUGUCUAAGUAUAAACAAUUCUAUACUGUGAAACUGCGAAUGGCUCAUUAAAUCAGUUAUAGUUUAUUUGAUAAUUUCUUUCUACAUGGAUAACCGUGGUAAUUCUAGAGCUAAUACAUGCAUAAAAACCCGACUCACGAAGGGUUGUAUUUAUUAGAUAAAAACCAAUGUGGGCAACCACUCCCUUGGUGAUUCAUAAUAACUUCUCGAAUCGUAUGGCCUUGAGCCGACGAUGUUUCAUUCA